ACGCUUUCAAACGGGAGUUCAGCUAUGUUUAAAGGAAAUGGUAUUUGUUUAUGGAAUAACUCUUCUCCUUGAUAGUGCCCGAAGUAUUGGACCAUACUCAACAGCAAUAACGGAAAAUGCAUCCACAUCACCGACCAUUAUUA